rnacentral:rRNA from 1 species
UACGAAGGGGGCUAGCGUUGCUCGGAAUCACUGGGCGUAAAGCGCACGUAGGCGGACUCUUAAGUCGGUGGUUAAAUCCUGGAGCUCAACUCCAGAACUGCCUUCGAUACUGGGAGUCUCGAGUUCGGGAGAGGUGAGUGGAACUGCGAGUGUAGAGGUGAAAUUCGUAGAUAUUCGCAAGAACACCAGUGGCGAAGGCGGCUCACUGGCCCGAUACUGACGCUGAGGCACGAAAGCGUGGGGAGCGAACAGG